GACAUGAUGGCGUAGUUGGUA
rnacentral:siRNA from 1 species